rnacentral:snRNA from 1 species
GAAUGUGAGGGUGAGCUGGCUGUGACAUCUGUCACCCCAUUGAUUACCAGGGUUGAUUCAGCUGAUCUUACCAGGUAGGCAGCUGUCCGCUUCCUCCCUCACUGCCCCAGGUGCACCCUGAAGAGGCUGGUCAGCCAAUAGAGGCAACAGAGGAGAACCGUUCCCUCUAUCAAGUGUAUACGAGCAGCUGUGCUGCCCCGCUGAAACCUCCAAAGAAACUCUCCAGAAAGACAUGCAUAGAUAAAAAGAGUAGGAAUAAAAUAUUUUCUAGGAAGAGAGAAGUGAAGAGUUUUGGGAGAAAUAGGCCACAGUAUUUGUGAUCUAGCUAGAGAUAUUUGUG